UACGGAGGUCUCAAGCGUUGUUCGGAUUCAUUGGGCGUAAAGGGUGCGUAGGUGGCGCUGUAAGUCGGGUGUGAAAUUUCGGAGCUUAACUCCGAAACUGCAUUCGAUACUGCGGUGCUUGAGGACUGGAGAGGAGACUGGAAUUCAUGGUGUAGCAGUGAAAUGCGUAGAGAUCAUGAGGAAGACCAGUGGCGAAGGCGGGUCUCUGGACAGUUCCUGACGCUGAGGCACGAAGGCCAGGGGAGCAAACGGG
rnacentral:rRNA from 1 species